AUGGCUCAGGACGAACGCUGGCGGCGUGCCUAAUACAUGCAAGUCGAACGGCUUUUCUAUGGAAGCUUGCUUCCACUGAGAAGAUAGUGGCGAACGGGUGAGUAACACGUGGGUAACCUGCCCAUAAGAGGGGGAUAACAUCCGGAAACGGUGCUAAUACCGCAUAGUUUUCUUGAUCGCAUGAUCGGGAAAGGAAAGACGGCCUUUGUGCUGUCGCUUAUGGAUGGACCCGCGGCGUAUUAGUUAGUUGGUGAGGUAACGGCUCACCAAGACGAUGAUACGUAGCCGACCUGAGAGGGUGAUCGGCCACAUUGGGACUGAGACACGGCCCAAACUCCUACGGGAGGCAGCAGUAGGGAAUCUUCCGCAAUGGACGAAAGUCUGACGGAGCAACGCCGCGUGAGUGAAGAAAGGUUUUCGGAUCGUAAAACUCUGUUGUCAGAGAAGAACAAGUUGGAGAGUAACUGCUCCAGCCUUGACGGUAUCUGACCAGAAAGCCACGGCUAACUACGUGCCAGCCGCAGC
rnacentral:rRNA from 1 species